rnacentral:lncRNA from 1 species
AGCCAGAAGCCCAGGACUGUGGCGGUGCCGCCAGAGUUUGCCUUCGCGCGCGCGAGUGUGGUCCCAACUCUGAGGACCGAAGCCGCCCACCGGUGACUCCACUCCGGCUGCCCGUGCCCAGCGGGAUCGAGGCCUCGGGCCGUUCCACCUGGGUGCGCGCGGCUCUCGCCUGCAACCCCGCCUUCCCUGCCCAAGUCUCGCAACUCACCGCCCGACCCUCCUGCGGGAUGCGCGCGGCGAGGCGUCCGCCCGCAGCUCCCGGCUAGCUCAGAUCUGCGCGCGGCGGCCUUCCCUCCCCUCGGAGGUGGGUCUGGCGGAGCCGCAGCUGUUACCCGGAGACCGAGGGGCGGAAAAAACUGCGCCCGCCGCCCGCCCCUCCCGCCGCGGCGCUGCCUCCGCUGGGAACAAAGGAGACAAAGCCGCGUCGGCCGGCCCGGGCUCCGCUCCUUCCACACACCCCCACCCCCCGCCCGUCGGGCCGCCCUCCCCCCGCGCGCCUCCCGGACCAGGCCGGAAGCAGCCGGGAGAACGGGGUACGCGGUCCCAGCCAUCCGGGACCCCGCAUUCCGGUCCCGCGGGAUCCGAGUUUGUGAAGGGCCUGGGGGGGGGUGAUCAACCCCUCUCAUUAAAUGGGGGCUGCAGCGCCCAGGCGGUAGCCAUGGCAACGCAGACGUGUAGGGUGAGGAGCCUAGCUGGGAGCGUGGGCGGUCCGCCCCGCCCAGCCGGGCCUCACCUGCGCGCCGCUUAGGACCAAGAGGCUGCGGCCAUGGUUGCGAGCCUUAUUACCUGGGCGUUGAGAUACAGCACAGGAGCCUUUCCCCGUCCUGCCAGAGUUCGAGGGACUUGUGCCCCACACCUGCUCUGCCUGUUCCAUAACCACCAUCUUGACUAUCCCCAACGCACCUCGCCCAGCGACCGAGCGCCCUCAUUCCCUUCUAGAUCCCGGCCCUUGGAGCCAUCCUCUCCCCCCAACUUUCUUCACCUAGUCUCCUAGACGCCAGCUUCUCCUCUUCUCACCUGGCCCUGCCCACCUUUCCUUCUUUCAAUACUCCACAACACCCAACCUCUCCUUCCGGCCCCCACCCCUGGCUGUUUGAAGAGAGCCCGGGCUUUGGACCUGAGUUUGCGCCAUCACUAAGCCAUGUAACCUGACACCCCUUCCCCCCCCCCCCCACACACACACCGACCUAUUUGCUCCUUGACUAAUAGGGGGUGAUACCACCAAAGCUGAACUGUGUAAGCAGGGCAUACUGGCUGUGAGGUGCAGAAGUAGGGUCUUAUUUCCUUCCCUCCUCCACGGCCUGUACCUGGAGCCAUGCAGAACUCAGAAGCCUUGAGCAAGUCUGGACUCCCUCCUUGGAAAACACCUGGGUCUUUCUGGGAAGGAAACCCUGGGCAGAGGUUCUCUCCUGAGGGCGUUUAUGCAGGGCGGUUCACACCCGGGCUUGCCAAUGGCAAUCUGUGGAGCCUGGACCUGACCCAUCCUGAGGGCUUUUGAAGGACUUUGGCUCAAGGCCAUUGGCAUAGUGUCCAGAAAGGGAAAAACUGCAUAUACGUCACCUGGAAGCCUCUAAGGUUAGAGGGCUCUAAAUUGGGGGAAGCCCGAGUCUUCCGUUUCUGCCACUUCACUAAGGGCUGAUGCCAGGCUGCUCUACCAUCACACCCUCAGCCUCCCGUGGGGUGGGGUGGGGGUGGGGUGCUGGCUUGAUUUAUGUCAACUCGACAGAAGCUUGAGUUAUCUGAAAGAACUUCAGUGGGGAAAUCUCUCCAUAAGAUCCCCCUGUAGGGCAUCUUCUUAAUUAGUGAUUGACAGGGGCGGUCCCAGUCCAUUGAGGGUGGGGCCCCCCUGGGCUGGUAGCCCUGGGUUCUGUAAGAAAGCAUACUGAGCAAUAAGCGGCACCCCUCCAUGAGGUUCUGGCCCUGCUUGAGUUCCUGUCCUGUCCUGUCCUGUUCUGUACCUGUCAGUGAUUAACAAUAAUGUGGAAGUGUAAGCCAAAUAAACCCUUUCCUCCCC